UAAAAUGCAGAGACCAAAACAGAAGAAUUCAGUCUAGGAGAAAAUCUUGAGAUAUAAUCAUCAUGCGCUUCGCAAUUCUUUUCGUUCUUAUUAUUUGCACAAUGACAACGAAGGUGACACACGGGUGUCACCCAAAUACACCAGGGUGCCACACUACUCCCAAACCCAAAUAAAAACAAGAGAGAACGCUAUA